rnacentral:lncRNA from 1 species
AGAAGAAACAAGAGAAAAUAUGAUAGUAUAAUUUGUGGGGCUGAAAGCCCUCAGGCCGCAAGCACGUGAUGCUACACAGCCUGGUCUCCCUCACGAGCCACUUGAGCAAUGGCAUCAAGCCUGACCCUCCCUGCAGGAGGGCCCUGUAACUUGCAGCACCCAGAAUUACCGUGAGAUAGUUUAACAAUAAGUCACCACAAACUCAUCUUCCUGGCUCCACAUUAGCAUAUCUUCAGGGCAGGCACGAGCAACGAGUCUUUGGUGGUGGCACCGCCUUGGUUAUGGGGCCGCAGACCCGGGAUGGGGCAAAGGACAGGCGUGAGGAAGGAAAAGAAGAUGGCGCCGCGGUGCUUCAGGGGCUGUGGAAGGGGUGAGGAAGGAAGACAAGAUGGCGCCCCCUAGCAUCAGGUUGGGGCCCGGCCUGGUUCUCUGAGGAGAAGUGGCGGGAAGGGGUGGAAUAGGCAACGCCCUCAGCUGAAGCCAUUCCUUUUCCCCCUAAUCCAUAAAAUGAGUGGUUUUGGUGCUUUCAAAAAGCACCAAUUUUAUUUGAAGGGGAGAAUUGCGUUAUCUUCUCAUGUCCUGUUAGAGGUGGGGCAGAAUAGGCUGGAAUAGUGGGAUUGGCUUGUUUCAGCAGGUGGCUUUGUGCUGAUAAGCUCUAGGUAAUCCUGCUUUGAUAACCCCAAUAAAACACAAUGGCUGUCAGGGGAUGGAGAAGAUACAAGGUCCGUUGUUAUUAGCCAGCAGUUUGCAAACAUUCGGAGAUUAAAGCUGCACUCCGAAUUGAGAUGAUGGAAUCAUGAAUGUAGAAUAAAUUUAAUGGAGCUCAUCUGGUAAGCAUGAGACAAAGGAAUGAAAAUAAAACUUGGAGCUGCAUACUUCUGAGUGUAAAUUUAGGCAGCAGUGAACUGUGCUACUUAUGUGAGUCAAACCCUCAGCCAAUUUCUGGUUGCUGGAUACCUUAUAUUGUUUUUAAUAGACAAAAGGACCAUCCUACUCAGAGUAAGUGUAUUCUCACAGUAAUGUAUCUUUUGCCUGGGAAUAAUAUGUUUUCAGGUGUCUUGUGUAAAGAAGGUGGCAGGCUGCUUUCAAGUAAGGCAGUCUGUAGGAGCUCAUCACGGCAGUGCGCUUCUGGUGGUACGUUUUCUGCACAGAUAACUAGAAAGGGAAAUUGGCUGCGUGCACUGCAGCGUGGAUCUUGGCUUCUUUACUUAGAGCAGAGAUAA